AACGCGAAGAACCUUACCUGGGCUCGAAAUGCAGAGGACCGCACCAGAAACGGUGCUUUCCGCAAGGACUUCUGUAUAGGUGCUGCAUGGCUGUCGUCAGCUCGUGCCGUGAGGUGUUGGGUUAAGUCCCGCAACGAGCGCAACCCUUAUCAUUAGUUGCCAACACGAAAGGUGGGGACUCUAAUGAGACUGCCUAGGUUAACUAGGAGGAAGGUGAGGAUGAUGUCAAGUCCGCAUGGCCUUUAUGUCCAGGGCUACACACGUGCUACAAUGGUCGGUACAAAGGGAAGCAAAAUCGUAAGGUGAAGCAAAUCCCAUCAAAGCCGAUCUCAGUUCAGAUUGUGGUCUGCAACUCGACCACAUGAAGUUGGAAUUGCUAGUAAUGGCGUGUCAGCAACAGCGCCGUGAAUACGUUCCCGGGCCUUGUA
rnacentral:rRNA from 1 species